GAGUUGUGCGCAGAGGGCGGGGGAGCUGGGGUGCUGAGCAGGGUCUGAGUAGGGGCAGGGGGCCCCUCUGAAGCAGGAGAGAGCCUGGUGUCCGCGACUUGGAGGGUCCUUUCCGCCGGCGCCUUCCCCUCCGGCGCAGGGCUGGGGACCCCUCCAGACCCGGCGGCCCGUCCCCCGCGUCCUGCCCGCGCUGGUCUCGGCGCCCCUGGCCCUCGGGGCCGCGCGAGGGGCUCUCGUCGAGUGGCUGCCGAGGCCGUGUGGAGCCAGAGGGGGUCCGCGCAUGGCCUUGGGGCCCUGGGUCCCCAGACCCCUGCCCCCGCCGCGCCCCGCGCGCCCCCUCCAGUUUCUGUCGUAGGUGGUUGCAAAUGGUGACGGGGUCGGGCGGCGGGCAGGCCCCCCAGCUCUCUCGGUGUCCACGCCCUCCGCGCCCCAACACCUGCCCCGCGUGGCUCGCAGUGGCCCUCGGUUCCCUGGUCGCGCUCCUCGCGGGCGGUGGGGAGAGGGAGGGGGCCGCGCACUAGGACCCCCGUCGGCACAGGCGACCACGACCUCCGUCAGGAGCCCGGAGUUCCGAGACUGGCCGUGGGGGCGCGGACUCUGGGAAUCUCCCCGAAGUGCCACUCAGCCCCCUGCCCGUGGCCCGCGGUCCCCUAGAUCAGGGUACAGGUGUCGCGGCCCUGGGUCGGGGGGAGGAGCGAGGUCCCAUCGUUAAGUCUUGGCGCUCGUUCCUAGUCGCUGUGAGUCCCGCAGAGAACAACGCGGGAGGUCUGAGUGGGGGCGGGACGCCCCUCCGCCGCCCGCUCUGGUCAGCAGCCAAGACCUGAAAAGCCGUGUCCUCAGCCACCAGGGCCGGCAAGCACCUGCCCUUCGGUCCGGGACGUGUGCUGUCCCGCCUCCGGCAUCGACUGCACCUCGGCCGGGCGACUGCUGGAAAGCCCAGGCUGAACCCAAACUCACCCUGACCCAGUGCAGUGCAAAGCUUCAGAAAUCAAUGAAAUCAGGAAUGAAAUACAGCCGGAUGCGGACGGCGACAGGCUGGUGGCAGCCGCUGGAGGGGACACCGGGUGGGGGAGAGACACAAAGGUCUCCGCCGUCAGCCAUUCUCUCCUUCAUGGAAAAUCCAAGUCACACGACUUCACGUGUCCUAGAUGAGGGGUUUCUUUCAAGGUCAACAUUCAGACGUAGGAGAUGGAGAUCACCACGGACCACCCUAACCCUCCAGCUGGGCCCUCAGGUGCACAUGGGAGUCGGGGUCAGAGCUGCACCCACCUAGCACUGUGGGAUUCCAGCAACGGGGUGAAACCAGAAACCAGCGCACGGACAGUUGCUUGCCAUGCAUUUGCAUUUAGUAUUUUAAAACAAUAUAUAUAUUUCAGUGUAAACUGCGUCCCCUCACUUAGCUUGAAACAUUGUUCCAUUUUCUAGGGAAACAAAACCUACCAAAAGGUACCGCCUGGAGGACCCUGAGCCCAGCCCCUUCCUGAAGGAUGGCUUUGUGUGGUCCCUGCUCCUUCCCAGUGGACCCCUCCCCCAAGGCAGACCUGCGGUCAGGGCAGAGUCCCCUUUAGAAAGCCCUUUGUCACUGAUUGUAUCUGAUGCUCAGAAAGUUGGUUUUAAUGUGACAAGGGAGGGAAGGGUUUCCAGUCACCUAGAUGUUGCAAAAGGGCACUCACCUGGGGUUCAGGUGAGCAUGACAGGUGGGCCCCCAGGGCCGGGUGUGGCACUUGUGACAGUCACCCCUCGGUAGCCCUGGCACCCUCCCCGGGAGAAGAUGCCGCUGGCAGGAGGAGGCCACCGCAGUGCACGCAGGCACCCCCGCUGGCCGUCCACACCGAUCCCAGGCACACAACCGACCCGGUGUUUACUUCUGUGCACCCGGCAAAGGAGCUUGCUGCCAAGACCCUGUUCUCGACCCGACUCACCAAGAAACCCAAGGCCGUUUUGGAGCCGACUUUCUUGUACUCGCUGUGGCCUCUGGGUAGCAGCGGUCACACCCGCUGCGUGAUAUAUACAUAUACACAUAUGUACACACAGAGAUACACGCACUGCCCACACCUACAGCACAGACACUGCCAACCGUGCUCGUACGGACAGUAAGAAUGUAGCUUUUGCCGAUUCCACAGGAGGAUUCACAACCAAAAUAACCAGAACAAACAGGGCGGUCCUGUGUCACAUGGGCUCAACUCUCAGCAUGUUGAGAAAGCAAUGAGAUCAGCCGCUCUCUCCAUCCUCACACCCGUCCCUCUGGUGGGAUACGCUGGAAGCCAGGGAAGGAUGGGGCAGGCCCCCAAGCUCUGCCUGCGUGCCAGCGCCCACCCCACUUGCUGGUGGUCUCACCCCAAGAGCCGGGUGCCGGGAGGCCGGGCAUCUCCCCAGACCACCAGUUGCACCAGUGGGCACUCCUCCAGCAUGAGCUCACCCGAUCGGCCCACCUGCACUCAGAAUGCAUGGCGACAGUCCCGAAACGGCCUUUCCCCAAGCAGGAGCCCCGUUGCCACGCUGGGUGGCCAAGAGUGUGGAAAGGCCACCUGCUCUAAGCACAGCACACGGCGGCUUCUUCCCCUGCGGCACUGACUGGGGAACUAGGAAGGCUCACACACACUGAGCAGUAAUAUCUAAAGCAGUUUCAAGGUAGAAGAAAGCCAAAGGGAAGACGAGAAGACCAACCACAUCUCUGAGCAGGAACAGAAAUGUACAGGCCAGCAGACACCAGCAGACACCCCGCAGGGCCCUCCCGUGCUUCCUGCUGGCCACUGGCUGCUCUGGGGCCCUCCUGGGGCGAGCCCCGCACUCUGCAACACGGCACGCGCUGCAGCCUGCAUUGGCCCAGCACUCCCUGGCCACACAUGGCCCUGGCUCUGGGCAGCCCCAGAGUGAGACCCCAGGCAGAGGGUCGCCCCCAUGUGACCAGUGAACAGGGCGCCCCUCCACACUCAGCAACUCUGCUCACCAGGGAAAUGCACAGACCAAUCAAGAAAAAGGGAAAUGCAACCGGGGCUGACAGGGAGUACAGCCGACUUCAGAACAGGAUCCGCUUCUGAGUCACCAGGUGGAAAUGCCUUCAGGGCCAGGCGGGGAGAGUUCUGGGCCCGUCUGGCUCCGGGGGUCCCUGGGCCUUAGGCAAUCAUUACCACCAUCUUAAGGGUUAACAUCACUGUCAUGAUUUAUUUGGUUUUUACAAAUCCUACAGGAGCCUGGGUUCAACACCCGUCCAGACCUGCCCCACUCCCCACACCCUGGUCCCCUGCAGAGCCUCACGUUUCUGUCAAGGUCCCGUCGAGGACUCGCUCACACACGUGUGCUGGGCCUUUAGGGUUCCUGACCACAGAGCUGCAGUGGCCCCGCAGGGGGAGCCUUGGUACCUGAAGUCCAAGCUUUGAACUUGGUUCUUGGCCAUGCCAGCGAAAAACAGCUCCGAAAGUUAUUUUCAGAAACACCACAAAGGCUGUGUCCUUGCUGCUGUUGGGACUGGUACAGACGACCCUGUGCUCUUACCUCUUCCCAGGGUGGCGUAGAGAACUUAUCAUCUUUCAUGACGUCUGAUUUUAGCAAAUUAUUUCUAAUUUAAGAGCAUAGUGCAUAUUUUCCCUCUCACUGAAUGUGCUCAUGAUCAUUUUAAUGAACAAAAACAAAAACAAAAGGGGGGGGGACCAAAAACCUGCCCAAGGACCUGGGAGCCGUUCCACCAGAGCCGGCCGCACCCAGCACUGUGCUCGGAGCCUGUCCACGUUCCGCACGGACACUGCUGUCCCUUCAGCCCCUUUCGGGUCAACAAGCACCCGCUCUCGGCAGAGCUGUGGGUGGGCAGACAAGGGCCGAGGCCCAGCGGGCGGGCAGGCUGGGGGGAGGCGGUGCUGGAAACAGUGCACGUCAGAGCCGACAUCGUCCUCCUUGCUUUUCAUCUGCUGGACACGCAGGACACACUCAGCAGCAGCCCUCAAGUUCGUUCUGCAGAAACCACUCGGGUCUCCAGUGACCAGUGCGGGUCCAGCAGGGAGCCACACCACGUCCAGUGCUGCUGGGGGUGUGGGGGCCACUGUGAACUCUGGGCCGGCACAGGCACAUCGUAACCCGUUUCCUUGUCCCCGGCAGCAGGGGCACCACCCACAAGUUCUGGGACACAGACAAGAAAGACUGACUUCCAAGAGUUCACAGAAGGUGCCACUCAAGACAACGGUGAGUGAGUGGGGGCUCCACGGUCAGGCUGCUGGCUCACAAGCCAAGGGCACCAGGCUGUGCCUUUGGUCCAGCUGGUCCUUCCUCCAGGAACCUGGCGUCUCUAGCUCUGCCUGAACCAUCGACGGUGACUGAAGGGAACAGGUGAAGGGCAGUGGGGUGGGUAGGAGCUCUGCGAAGCACAGAGAAGAGGGCUGUGCUCCCCACGUGUGCUUCUCAGGGCUGCUCAGCCAUGCUCCACCAGCAACCUGGACUGUCGGCUCCUCUAACAACAACAAACCGGGUCACUGCUACCGCUUGCGGUUCUUAAGAGGUCCAGAAAGGACCAGAAGGCCAGGUGGGCCUGAAGGAAUGUAGAGGGUGGCCAAAGGGGAGAGGAGGUGGAGGAAUGUGGCCCCAUCCACCCAGCUCGUGGCCGGGGGACAGUGUGGGAGCAUGGAGGGUACACCUCCCACAGCCUGGCGAGGGAACACGCUCAAAGGACCAUGUGACAAGGAGACCGAGGCUGCACCCAGGUAGAAAACGUGGUCUUGGGGUCAGCAGAGCCUCCCACACUUUCCACAACAAACUUACCCAUGGAAAAAACCCUGCCACAAGGCCAAGCAACCAAGGCAAACAGACCCGCACAAACACCACGGAAAUGUUGACGGGACCAGGCAAAGGGAGGACACACCAGCUCCUUCCCAGCAAUGCGUCCAGAGCCUCUGCCUGUGCCCACGCAGCUGGCAAGCACGGGGGGGGCGGGGGGGUCCAGACCCAGAGCUCCCGCCAGGCAGCACCUGCUUCCGGCCCCCACCAGCACAGGGGAAAGGAGCCACCCCUCCCGCCCCAGCCUGCCUGGCUGGGGGGUACCACGCAGCCGCAGUCGGCGCAGCGAACUGAAAGCCCCGAGGCGGCUCCACUGGUAACGCGGUCACGCCGCGCGGCACGCCCACAACACAGACAGACAUGGAACGUAACCCCAUACAUGCUACUAAAAAA